CCUUCACCUGAGUGGAUUCGAUCUUGGAGGUAAGAUGAUUAGAGCUCGCAAUUUAUAUAUGUUCAAUGUUCUAUGUUUCUUGUUUUGUCUCUUGCUGUGUUUGGUUGUAAUUUUGGUUUGGGGCACCAUUUCUUUGCCGCGGUUUGUCCUGUCUAAUGUUUGUGCUGUCUAAUGUGCUGUCAUUUGUGUUAUGUGUUUCUUAAGCAUCUCUUUCUGUCCCACAUUGCCCAUGCACGUGGCAUGCAUGGGUCAGGGGUCUUUUCUUGUUGCCCUAAGCACAUGGCACGGGAAAGGAGUUCUGCCAUGUGUCACGGGUUAGAAUGUGUUAUGUUGGAGUCCCCCGAUGCUGCUUUUCUGAACUCGAACCACUGCUGCAGCCCUUACAGCUGAGCCUGGCCCAUGUAGACUGCGAGCCCUGGACUUGCUGUGGAUGUGAACCAGUCCAGCUGAUAUGGACACCCCCUGUCUCUGCAACAGUGUCUGCUAACCAGAAGCCCCUGAUGAAUUCCCCAUUGCCUAAAUUCCUUUUUGCUUUUGACUAGCAUUUCAACCUUCUGGGGUCCCUAACUUCGUCCCAAAGUCAGCAGGAAGCAGUUUGGAAAAGAAUUUCGCCGUCCAUUUUCCCUGGUUAAAAUGCUAAGUCAAAAGGAACUCCCUUGCAUGGGGAUGACAGUAUCUAUCACUCCCUGAUGGGGAUGCUAGAGAGACAGCAAUUCCAUGAUUGGAAUUUACAAAAAAGAAAAUGGGGGAAUGAAGGAACCGGCUUCCCUUUUGGCAGCCAUAACAGCCGAACAUGUGCUUGCCAUAUACCUGCCUUGGUCACUUAGAGGUCAGAUGCCUGUCUUGUGACAAGGAACCAAUCAGAAGUUAGCUGGUGGCGCUAUGCUUUACGACCCUGGGUGUGCUUUACGGACAAGCGCACAGCAAUGACGUAGAGAGCAUAGCAACCACCCUGGGAGGGCCUAUGAGCCAUAACAACCAGUUGACCAAUCAACACAGGGCAAGCCCUCCAAGCCUGGAGGCACACCAAUCAUGAGCCUGUGCGUAAGCCUGUGCGUACCCCUAGACACUCCCCUUACGCUGCCCUAUAAGAUCUUUGGGGAGACCUUAG
rnacentral:lncRNA from 1 species